AAGCGAAACGGUCAGCCCUUAAGUGGGCGGCUGUCGUCCUAAGGUCGCGCUUAGGGCCUGAUGAGCUAGCGCAAU
rnacentral:hammerhead_ribozyme from 2 species